GACGAACCGUGCGAACGUUAUUCGGAAUCACUGGGCUUAAAGGGCGCGUAGGCGGGCGGCCAAGUCAGGGGUGAAAGCCCCCAGCUCAACUGGGGAAGUGCCUUUGAUACUGGUUGUCUCGAGGGAGGUAGGGGCGUGCGGAACUUCCGGUGGAGCGGUGAAAUGCGUAGAUAUCGGAAGGAACGCCGGUGGCGAAAGCGGCGCGCUGGACCUCUUCUGACGCUGAGGCGCGAAAGCUAGGGGGAGCAAACGGGG
rnacentral:rRNA from 1 species